GCUGGGUGUGGUGGUGGGCACCUGUAAUCCCAGCUACUUGGGAGGCUGAGACAGGAGAAUCAUUUGAACCUGGGAGUCGGAGGUUGCAGUGAGCCAAGACAGCACCACUGCAUUCCAGCCUAGGCAACAGAGUGAGACUCUGUCUCAA
rnacentral:SRP_RNA from 1 species